rnacentral:misc_RNA from 1 species
GAACAGGGAAGACUAAAACAGAGACAUAAAAGCAGAAAACUCAAAACACAACAUGCACAUUUAGAAACCGCCCUUGUAUCAGUCUUUCUCCAAAUAGCGAACCCCUCAACCUUAGAGAAAAAAAAAAUGAAGAAGUGCGAGCUCUGUGACUCUUUAGCUAAAAUAUACUGUGAAUCAGAUCAAGCAAGCCUUUGCUGGGACUGUGAUGCCAAUGUUCACUGUGCAAAUUUCCUUGUUUCUAAACAUUCAAGAACGCUUCUUUGCCACCUCUGCCAAUCUUUCACCCCCUGGACAGCCUCCGGACCCAAGUUCAGCCCGACUGUUUCUGUUUGCGAGAACUGUGUAAACAAUUCCUCUUGUAGAGAUGAAAGAGGCAGUGAACAUGAUCAAAGUAGCGAUGGCGAUGAUGAUGAUGAUGAUGAUCUUGAUAGAGAAGACACUGGCGAUGAUGAAGACGAUGAAAAUGGUGAUGGAAGCGAUGAAGAUGAAGAAGAAAAUCAAGUGGUUCCUUGGUCUUCUGCAGCGCCUCCACCAGCUUCAAGUUCUUCUAACAGUGAUCAAGAAUGCUCCAGUAGGAUGUGUAAUAGCGACGAAGGUGCUUCUCAAUCAAGAAUUGCAUUUUCUUUGAAGCGAAUGAGAGAAACUUCUCAGGAUCAUCUAGGCUGCCUGAUAUCUCAAGAUAAUCCAAAUGCAUGCAUGUCAAAUGAAAUACCCUUUCAGGCAAAGCCAUUGAAGAACCAGGAAAGAACCAUGAGAGAGUCUCACGAGGGAUUGCAGAAACCCAAACUCCCUGAAGACAUUAUGAAGUUUGACAUCUGCAAACUGAACAAAGCAUCUGGAAAAUGCCAUUGAUAUAUUGACUAAAUAAUUAUAGCCACGUAAUUUUCUCUGAUUGAAAGCUAUUGUAACUCUAAUCUGAGAUUGAUCUGUGGUAGUGUACUAGUCUCUCUUUAACAAUUAACCACUUAGAGAAAUACUGUAUUGUAUUAAUCAUAGGUAUUAGUUUGCUUUAUUGCAAUGCAUAGUUCUUGCAAUGCAUAGUUCUUCUGGGUAUCAUUCAAAGAAAAAAGAAUAAAA